UACAGAGGUCUCAAGCGUUGUUCGGAUUCAUUGGGCGUAAAGGGUGCGUAGGCGGCGCGGUAAGUCGGGUGUGAAAUCUUGGAGCUUAACUCCGAAACUGCAUUCGAUACUGCCGUGCUUGAGGACUGGAGAGGAGACUGGAAUUUACGGUGUAGCGGUGAAAAUGCGUAGAUAUCGUAAGGAAGACCAGUGGCGAAGGCGGGGUCUCUGGACAGUUUCCUGACGCUGAGGCACGAAGGCCAGGGGGAGCAAAACGGGG
rnacentral:rRNA from 1 species